rnacentral:lncRNA from 10 species
UUUCUUCAAGUCUCUAAUUUUGCAUAUGAGAAACACUAAGACUCAGCAGAUAAGGAUGGAGGCGACUCAACAUCACACUGAGACAGAUAUGAGCCCUGCAUUUCUGAAUGCCUUGAAAGAAAAACCAGCAAGUUGGGAGGGCCGUGUCUCCUUAUCAUCUUCCAGGAAUUCAAAACCGUGAUUUCCAGUUUCCAAAUGCAACUCAAGCUCCAUCACCCUGUACAUCUUGCACGGUUUCUCCAGCAUAUCCUGAUCGCCACCUCCAGACCCUUCUGAUAGAUUCAUUACCUGAAUCUAUUUGCUAUUUCUUUAUAUGAAUGCAAG